UACGGAGGGUGCAAGCAUUAAUCGGAUUUAUUGGGCGUAAAGGGCGCGUAGGCGGGGAUGUAAGUCAGAUGUGAAAUCCCGAGGCUCAACCUCGGAACUGCAUUUGAAACUAUAUUUCUUGAGGGUAGGAGGAGAAAACGGAAUUCCACAAGUAGCGGUGAAAUGCGUAGAUAUGUGGAAGAACACCGGUGGCGAAGGCGGUUUUCUAUCUUAUUCCUGACGCUGAUGCGCGAAAGCAAGGGGAUCAAACAGG
rnacentral:rRNA from 1 species